GAUGCAACGCGAAAAACCUUACCUACCCUUGACAUGCCAGGAACCCUGCUGAGAGGUGGGGGUGCUCGAAAGAGAGCCUGGACACAGGUGCUGCAUGGCUGUCGUCAGCUCGUGUCGUGAGAUGUUGGGUUAAGUCCCGCAACGAGCGCAACCCUUGUCAUUAGUUGCCAUCAUUUAGUUGGGCACUCUAAUGAGACUGCCGGUGACAAACCGGAGGAAGGUGGGGAUGACGUCAAGUCCUCAUGGCCCUUAUGGGUAGGGCUUCACACGUCAUACAAUGGUCGGUACAGAGGGUUGCCAAGCCGCGAGGUGGAGCCAAUCCCAGAAAGCCGAUCGUAGUCCGGAUCGGAGUCUGCAACUCGACUCCGUGAAGUCGGAAUCGCUAGUAAUCGUGGAUCAGCAUGCCACGGUGAAUACGUUCCCGGGUCUUGUACACACCGCCCGUCACACCAUGGGAGUGGGUUUCACCAGAAGUAGGUAGCCUAACCGCAAGGGGGGGCGCUUACCACGGUGGGAUUCAUGACUGGGGU
rnacentral:rRNA from 1 species